AACUUUCAGCAAUGGAUCACUUGGCUCUCGCAUCGAUGAAGAACGCAGCGAAACGCGAAAUGUAAUGUGAAUUGCAGAACCUUAGUGAAUCAUCGAAUCUUUGAACGCACCUUGCACCCGGUGGUAAUCCGCCGGGUAUACCUAUUUGAGUGUCAUUUACCUCUCAACUAUUAAUUUGUAAACUCCUUUUUGAAAGGUAGAGUUAGUAGAUUGGAACGUGGAGGUGGUAAAUCUUGAAAGUUUUACCCCUCUUAAUUUGAGUCGGUUGAUCAAUCUUACAGCGGAUUGACCCAGUGUUGUAGAGUUGACCUCACUGGUUACGCUGGAAUGGUCGUGCCAUUAACAAAAUGAUAACUUUAUAUAAGAUUUUUGACCUCAAAUUAGGUAGGAUUACCCGCUGAACUUACGCAUAUCAAUAAGCGGAGGCU
rnacentral:misc_RNA from 1 species